UACGUAGGGACCAAGCGUUGUUCGGAUUUACUGGGCGUAAAGGGCUCGUAGGUGGCCAACUAAGUCAGACGUGAAAUCCCUCGGCUUAACCGGGGAACUGCGUCUGAUACUGGAUGGCUUGAGUUCGGGAGAGGGAUGCGGAAUUCCAGGUGUAGCGGUGAAAUGCGUAGAUAUCUGGAGGAACACCGGUGGCGAAGGCGGCAUCCUGGACCGGCACUGACACUGAGGAGCGAAAGCCAGGGGAGCAAACGGG
rnacentral:rRNA from 1 species